UGGAAGGGGUGUGGCAGGUUAACUUUGCAGCUCAACUAUUUGUCAGGGGCACUGAUGUCAUCGAGUCACUAAGAACCUAAGUUCUAUUUUCCCAAGCAGGGCUGGGAGACAUGAGAUCCUGGCCUGGACCUGAAAUGGGCACAAGGUUCUUCUUCUAUGUGGCCCUUUGUCUCCUGUGGACAGGACACACGGAUGCUGGAAUCACCCAGAGCCCAAGACACAAGAUCACAGAGACAGGAACACCAGUGACUCUGAGGUGUCACCAGACUGAGAACCACUGCUAUAUGUACUGGUAUCGACAAGACCUGGGGCAUGGGCUGAGGCUGAUCCAUUACUCAUAUGGUGUUGAAGACACUGACAAAGUAGAAGUCUCAGAUGGCUACAGUGUCUCUAGAUCAAAGACAGAGGAUUUCCUCCUCACUCUGGAGUCCGCUACCCGCUCCCAGACAUCUGUGUACCUUUGUGCCAGCAGUGAACCCACAGUGCUGCACGGCUGCCUCCUCUCUGCACGUAAAGGGCAGUUAGAAAGACUGAGGUUGCUCUGUGUCUGUCCCCACCCCGGGCAGUCCAGGCCUCCACAGGAGUCAGAGAGCCCUGGCCAGCCUGGAGGCCAUAGAGCAGGGGCCUUAGGACCCUCAGUGCUGACGUCCAUUCCUACCCCAGUCUCAAACCAACUGGAGGUCACCCCAACACCCUUAGCUCGCCUAGUCUCUCUUCUGCAGCUCCUGGACUUCUUCUCUCACCUGUGGGCUUCAGUGACUUCUUCAUCUGCCCCUUUCCCCAUCCUCCACUAUCCCUUCCACUCAUAG